rnacentral:rRNA from 1 species
CCCUUAGAUGUUCUGGGCUGCACGCGCGCUACACUGAAGCGUUCAACGAGUAUUUCACCUUGCCCGGGAGGGUUGGGUAAUCUUUUUAAAACGCUUCGUGAUGGGGAUAGAUUAUUGCAAUUAUUAAUCUUCAACGAGGAAUUCCUAGUAAGCGCGAGUCAUCAGCUCGUGCUGAUUACGUCCCUGCCCUUUGUACACACCGCCCGUCGCCCCUACCGAUUGAGUGAUCCGGUGAAUAAUUCGGACUGCAGCAGUGCUUGGUCCUCCGGGCUUUGCAGUGGAAAGUUUAGUGAACCUUAUCACUUAGAGGAAGGAGAAGUCGUAACA